rnacentral:rRNA from 1 species
AUGAAAGCUUUAGAAAUUUGGUUUUCAAAGGAGUCUACAGGUCCAGUUCCUAUAGAGCUAGUUGCUAAUGUGGAAGAAGUUGUACAUGACCUGAAGUUUGAGUCAUCUGAUCAGGACUAUAGUUAUGAUGAAGAUUAAGAUGGCCAGAUAGUUAGGAGGAAGAGCCAGUAUGUUAGAUUCAACCCAGACACAGAAAUUCCACAUUUUAGUUUGGGAAUGGUUUUCAAGAGCAAGAACCAAUUAGUGAAAGCACUAAAGAGGUAUGGGCUUGCCACUAAAAGGAGCAUAUCAUUUGUAAAAUCCGAGGAGCAUAGAGUGAGAGUAAAAUGUGGCUGGCCUGGUUGCCCCUGGAUGUUGUAUGGUGCCAAGACAAGUAGACGCUCUAGGUUUCAAGUUAUUACCUAUGAAGAUGAGCACAAUUGUGCACAGUACAGGGAGAACAAGCUUGUUACUACUAAGGUGAUUGCAAAUAGAUAUGCGCACAUUAUCCUAGCAUGUGGAAAAUUGAUAGCAUUAAAGCCACAGUGCUCAAAGAUAUGUUUGCUGACAUGUCAGUUUCAAAGUGCAAGGCAGCAAAGAAAAUUGUACUUGACAAACUCAUGCGUGGCAUGA